CGUAGGAGCUCCUCUGUGCCUGUUCACGGGACAUAACGCACAGACAGUGAGGCUGGUGGACUGGAUAACGGUACAUAAUGCGCAUAAAAAGCGAACUCUUCUCCUGGACGAUAUUGUUUCUCCUUCGUGUGGCUGGCCUGGGGCUUUGCUAUGAACAGCAUGUGCCCUGCACUGUCACACAGGGCGAUGGAUGGACAGAAUACCAUGUGCCUGAACACCAAGGAACUGACUGUCAUUUCUCCUGGAGCAACAGCAGUGAUUAUGUCAUUGCAAACCAUAUGCAGCAGCUGGAUCCUGUGGUGCUGCACAAAAACCACACCUCUCUACGUAUCAAAGGAUGCUCAGAGCGGACAACCUACUCGCGAAAUUGCAUCUCAGAGGGGACGCCACGGAAAAGCAUUUGCUCCGCCACCUGCAGGGACCUGCAGUCACCUCAAGCUCAGACAGGAGGGAAUUCCCGCCACUAUUGGAUGACACUUUCAGUUUCAGUUUCCAUCUUCAUCCUGGUCCUGGUCCUGAUAGGGGUCAUUGUGCGAUGUCAGAAGACACAGAAUCGACCACAACCCGAGGAUGCUGCAUAG
rnacentral:lncRNA from 1 species